rnacentral:tRNA from 1 species
GGUUGUAGCUCAGUGGUAGAGCGCUUGCCUAGCAUGUUGAGGCUCUGGGUUUGAUUCUCAGCACCA